rnacentral:pre_miRNA from 1 species
ACAACAUUCGGAACGUCGGUCUACUGAGAAAUACCUCCUUUCGGUGGAAGAUAUUUCGUUUGUCAU